rnacentral:rRNA from 1 species
CCUACGGGGUGCAGCAGUGAGGAAUAUUGGUCAAUGGACGCAAGUCUGAACCAGCCAUGCCGCGUGCAGGAUGACGGCCCUACGGGUUGUAAACUGCUUUUGUCAAGGGACAAAAUCAGGCUCGAGAGCCUGACCGAGGGUACUUGAAGAAAAAGCAUCGGCUAACUCCGUGCCAGCAGCCGCGGUAAUACGGGGGAUGCGAGCGUUAUCCGGAUUUAGUGGGGUUAAAGGGUGCGUAGGCGGGCUGUUAAGUCAGCGGUAAAAGCCCGGGGCUCAACCCCGGCGAGCCGUUGAAACUGGGUGUCUUGAGAUGUCGAGAGGUAAGCGGAAUGCGCAGGGUAGCGGUGAAAUGCUGAGAUAUUGCGCAGAACUCCGAUUGCGAAGGCAGCAUACCGGCGGCGAUCUGACGCUGAGGCACGAAAGCGUGGGUAUCGAACAGGAUUAGAUACCCUAGUAGUC